UUGAACGCUGGCGGCAGGCCUAACACAUGCAAGUCGAGCGGAUGAAGGGAGCUUGCUCCUGGAUUCAGCGGCGGACGGGUGAGUAAUGCCUAGGAAUCUGCCUGGUAGUGGGGGAUAACGUCCGGAAACGGGCGCUAAUACCGCAUACGUCCUGAGGGAGAAAGUGGGGGGUCUUGGGACCUCCGGCUAACAAAUGGGCCUAGGUCGGAUUAGCUAGUUGGUGGGGUAAAGGCCUACCAAGGCGACGAUCCGUAACUGGUCUGAGAGGAUGAUCAGUCACACUGGAACUGAGACACGGUCCAGACUCCUACGGGAGGCAGCAGUGGGGAAUAUUGGACAAUGGGCGAAAGCCUGAUCCAGCCAUGCCGCGUGUGUGAAGAAGGUCUUCGGAUUGUAAAGCACUUUAAGUUGGGAGGAAGGGCAGUAAGUUAAUACCUUGCUGUUUUGACGUUACCAACAGAAUAAGCACCGGCUAACUUCGUG
rnacentral:rRNA from 1 species